rnacentral:rRNA from 1 species
UACGUAGGGACCAAGCGUUGUUCGGAUUUACUGGGCGUAAAGGGCGCGUAGGCGGCAUGACAAGUCACUUGUGAAAUCUCUGGGCUUAACCCAGAACGGCCAAGUGAUACUGUCGCGCUAGAGUGCAGAAAGGGCAAUCGGAAUUCUUGGUGUAGCGGUGAAAUGCGUAGAUAUCAAGAGGAACACCUGAGGCGAAGGCGGGUUGCUAGGCUGACACUGACGCUGAGGCGCGAAGCCAGGGAGCAAACGGG